GGCAGGAGACCCUUUUUGAAUUAGCUCGGUUUUCUUGUUCAAAGGCACACUCUCCAGACGGCAUUUGCAGAAGUCUGUCUGUAACAGUCUGUGUCUUCUUAUGCCUGGGACUUAUUUGGGGAGUGAGAAUCUUUCCAGGAUGGAUUCUGCUGGCCAUUUUGGGCCACUUCUGAAAAUGCUGUGGGGACACGUAUUCUCAGAUAUGUUCCACCUGGGGCGACACGUGGAUGCUUCACAAGGAGCACAACCAAACAAAACAUCACGGUGGCCUCACGCUCAGACAACACGCCAGUGGCGGCCGGACGUCGUGUGUACCUGAGGGUGAAGUACAUGCUGGUGGGGACGUAGGAUGGGGGAAGAUGAACUCUGAGCGUUUGUAGGCUGUCGCACGCGCGUUAUCUCAUUCAGUCUUCCCAAAGACCAUUGUGCGGUGAAAUAUUUCAGACUCCUAUUUUACCCAUAAGGAGACAGAAUCAGGGAGGUGAAGCCAUGUGUCCGUAUCAUAGCUAGUAUGUGCUAUAGCUGGAUGGGGUUUGUGCCCAGCUCCCAGCUCUGGUCACAGCUUCUCUGUGCUCCUUCCCUCCCUGUGGUUAGUGGUACAGGCGGUGGCCUGGAGGAUGUCCCAGGGUCUCAGCCGGAUUUAGGGUGGUUCGUUGGGUCCCCUCAGAUUCAGAUGCUUCUGCCGUAAGAACAUCCAGAUGGCACCCUUUAACCCAGAACUCUUGGAAGCAAAGUUCCAGAACAGAACCUGAGAACAACAGAAGGAGAACCAGAACAACAACCUGAGUUACCACGAUGCAGGUUUCCUCGACAGCUACAUGAGAGAGUACAGAGAAUCGGGCUUUGGUCGCAGAGGACGUAGGUUGGAAUCUAAUGGCAUGAUCUCGGCCAAGCUACACAACCUCUGUAUUCAGUUCUCCUCUGGCUUAUAAUCGUUUGUACCUCAGAGAAGUGUGCGUGAAGGAGAUAGCAGAGCGUAUUCGAACAAGAAGAACAAAAUGCACGAUUAAUUCCAAAGUCUGUACAAAAAGACUCUAUCCAGCGGGGCUUCCUAUUUACUUAUUUUAAUUUCUGAGAAGUAAAGAUCCAACGUUCACAACGCAUGAAGCCCACGUAUCUACACAGAGUAACUGAGCCGUGCGGUACCAAGAGACAGCAGGUGGAGACGAAACUUGCCAUGUAGCUCAUUGUACUAAGCUGCGGAGGAACCCUGCACGCACAACACGCACCUCAUCGGCUCCUGGGCCCCAGGUCACCUGCGCGCACCGUCCCGGGAGUGUGUACCACGCUCUUCCCCUGCGUGUGCAUGUUUUGGUGAUCAGAUUAUUUAAUACAAUGAUCUGGUUAUAAAAGUUCAAGUAGUGAGCAUAAAGGGAGGGUCUUAGGUAUCGAGGGGAAACUGAAAAUAACAAAAUGCUUUAAAAGAUACGAGAAGGGGAGAGGAGGUAGGAGGGCCAAAGGAGUCCUCGUUAGAGACAGUGCUGGAGGGAGAAAGAGAGAGAAAGGAAAGCUGAGGCCAUCGUGGUGGGUGUGCUGGCUGGUUGUGUGGUUGUUAAACUAUUGCUCUCAGCUCCAGACCCACCCUUUGUGCUUUGCUUGUAGAGCAAACUACGUUUUCACUUUGCCCUUUGGUGACUGCUCCUCAUUAGGCCCACACCAAUCGAAGGUGCUAGAGAAAGAUUUAAAGUCGGAAGAACGGCAGUUGGUUCCAGUCUCCGGUCAUGUUGCUGUCCUGGCACCUGGCCCGUUUUACCAGUUCAGAGGUACCAGUUCCUCCUGAUCAGAGAGCUGAGUUCCAGCUCUGGGGAGGAGGGGGCCCCUUCUCUAAGUUCCCGAGGCAUCACCACCAGCCAGGCAUCCCUCCUUCCUCUAGGACGGACAACCAUCUGGUCUCCCUGGGACUCUCUUGGUUUUAGCAUGAAAAAUCGGUGUCCCAGAGCAACUGGGAUGGUUGGUCACCCUACUUCUCCUCGGAGGUCUGGUCCCACCAAGUGACGCUCCCACUUCAUUUCUUUUUCCAUCUCAGAAGAUGCUUCCAGAAGUUGCCUGAGACUUCCCCCUUUGGCUUUUUAGUCAUCCAUCACCUGCUUCACCAAUCCCUUGUAUUAAAUUCUCACUCUUAAAAUAACUUGUGUGGUAGUUAUCAGCUACUUUAAAGGUGUUUUAGAAGCACCUUCAGGGGACCGAAGAUCAUGGCUUAAUGCCAAACCACAAAUACAAAUACAACAAACUAGCGCUUUGUGUCACAAAAAGAGGGAAUGGGCCCAAACCCAAAAGCUGGAUUUCUAAUUUAAGUCAGCGUAGAAGUAAGAAGUACGGAACGUCGAGCCAUGGCUAUCCACCGUGGGUGUCGCAACAUUUCGUCUUAAAAAUUAGGAUGGCCUUCUUCCAGCCCUUCCUCGUAAUUCAGAAGCCAGACUAGCUCACCUACCUCCUUCCACUAAACGAAAUUUAUGCAAUUUGUCAAGGAAAUGUGUCAAAUAAUGCGUUAUUUUAAAACAUGUAUUAAGAAUCCAAGAUGUUUACAACUCUGGUAGCAU